rnacentral:rRNA from 1 species
UACGGAGGGUGCAAGCGUUAUCCGGAAUCACUGGGUUUAAAGGGUGCGUAGGCGGCUUUGUAAGUCAGGGGUGAAAUGCUACGGCUUAACUGUGGAAUUGCCUUUGAAACUAUGGAGCUAGAAUAGAGUUGAGGUUGGCGGAAUGUGACAUGUAGCGGUGAAAUGCAUAGAUAUGUCAUAGAACAUCGAUUGCGAAGGCAGCUAACUGGGCUUUUAUUGACGCUGAGGCACGAAAGCGUGGGGAUCAAACAGG